rnacentral:rRNA from 1 species
GACGAACGCUGGCGGCGUGCUUAACACAUGCCAGUCGAACGGAAAGGCCCUGCUUUUGUGGGGUGCUCGAGUGGCGAACGGGUGAGUAACGCGUGAGUAACCUGCCCUUGACUUUGGGAUAACUUCAGGAAACUGGGGCUAAUACCGGAUAGGAGCUCCUGCUGCAUGGUGGGGGUUGGAAAGUUUCGGCGGUUGGGGAGGGACUCGCGGCGGAUCAGCUAGUUGGUAGGGUAGUGGAUUACCAAGGCGUUGACGCGUAGCCGGCCGGAGAGGAUGACCAGUGAGACUGGGAGUGAGACACGGCCCAGACUCGGAGGGGAGGCAGCAGUGGGGAAGAGUGGACAAUGGGGGAAAGCCUGAUCCAGCAAUGCCGCGUGAGGGAUGAAGGCCUUAGGGUUGUAAAGCUCGUUUACCCGGGAUGAUAAUGACAGUACCGGGAGAAUAAGCGCCGGCUAACUCCGUG